rnacentral:lncRNA from 10 species
GCAGGGCCCUUAACGGGCAGGGGCGUGGCCAGAGGAGGGCGAAGUCGGGACGUUAAGGGCCGCAGAGCGCGUGCGCAGGAACGUGGAAAGUUCCAGGACACGGAACCGUUGGGACGGAGGACCUGAAGGUGGAGUGAGGUAUCACGGGGUUUGGUGAUGACGUAGUCGGUCGAGGCCGGAAGCGUGGGCCACAGGGCUUUGAGCGGAAGCUGUCGACCUUGCACGGUGAUGGCGCUCCUCGUGAUCCCUUGUAUCCCCUCAGGCUCGAGCCAGGAGCCUAGGUCCACUUUGAAAAGUAGUAAAAGGCAGAAAGGUUCUGCGGUGUGAGGGGGAGGGCGGCUUCGUGGUCGGCUGGGUCGGGGGAGCGCCGGGCGGCCGCGGCGUGGCUGUGUCCGGGGCUGCCCUGCGCAGCCGGCCGUUUCGCCGCCUGGUGCACUUGCUGAGCUUCCGGCCUGGCCCGUCGCGGGGCUCCUGGCGCCCCCCUAGACGACUGUGUGGAGAAUGGAGCCUGCGGAGCCACGCGUAGAGAGAGGCCCGGAGCCGGCGCGGUGGCGGCGGGCGCCAGUGGUCCCAGCCACUCGGGAGGCCGAGGUGGAGUGUCGCUUGAGCCCAGGAGUUCCAGACAGGCCUGAGCAACAGAGCCAGACCCCGUCUCCACAAAGAAAGAAACAAAUGGGCCAGAGACCCAGAAUGCUUUCUGUAGCCUAACCUAAUGUUCAAAACCAGGGCAGACCCAAGCCAUGGAAAGCUUGAGGGAAUAAAAUAAUAUUCUGCUGCGGCCAAGAAUAACAAUGCUAAUUCCUGGAUAAGGGGAUUUAAAAUGAUGUUUAACAACUUCUGGUCUUUUAAUAUUGACCCAAGUUUAAAAACAUGUUCAUAUAAAAAAGUUACUGGAAGAAAUUUAUAAAUGUAACUGGUGGUUAUUUUUAGAUGACAGAAUUAAAAGUGAUCUUUUUGGUAUUUUUUCCACAACGAGCACGUGUCAUUUUUAUGUUAAUUUCAUUUUAUGCGAAAUGCUCCAGCGCAGUACAGGCUAGUGGGUUCAGGGUGGCUGUGACUAAGUAAUGUAGAUGGGGUACCUUAGACAAAGUUUCCAGACUAGAGGCUGGAAGUAAGAGGUCCGGGUGCCCUUUUCCACACUGCAGACCACGGACUUUUCCGGUUUCUGAACAAGUGAGACAGGCCGGCUAAGGACAUUUAUAAUCUCCAUGGGUGAGGGCCCCACCCUCAUGACCAUCUAAUCUUGAUUACCUCCCGAAGGCCCCACCUCCUAACUUCCUAAUACAAUCACUUCUUGGGGGAAGAGGGUGUUUGGAAUUCCACCCCCCGCCCUUUUUUUUUUUUGGAGACAGUCUCACUCUGCUGCUCAGGCUGGAGUGCAGUGGUGUGAUCUUGGCUCACUGCGACCUCCCCCUCCCAGGUUCAAGCCAUUCUGCCUCAGCCUCCAGAGCAGCUGGGAUUACAGGCCCAGCUAGUUUUUGUAUUUUUAGUAGAAACGGGUUUUCAUCAUUUUGGCCAGGCUGGUCUCGAACUCCUGACCUCAAGUGAACUGCCCGCCUUGGCCUCGCAAAGUGCUGGGAUCGUCAGAGGCAAGUGAACCAGAGCACCUUCAUCUUAAACAGGAGCUGGGUAAGAUGAGCCUAAAACCUACUGGGCUGCAUUCCCAGACAGUUAAGGCAUUCUAAGUCACAGGAUGAAAUGGGAGGUCAGCACAAAAUACAGGUCAUAAAGACCUUGUUGAUGAAACAGGUUGCAGCAAAGGAGCCAGCCAAAACCCACCAAAACCAAAAUGGCGAAGAGAGUGACUUUGGUCCUCACUGUUACACUCCCACCAGUGCCAUGACAGUUUAGAAAUGCCAUGGCAACAUCAGGAAGUUACCCUACAUGGUCUAAAAAGGGGAGGCAUGAAUAAUACACCCCUCGUUUAGCAUAUAAG